rnacentral:rRNA from 1 species
GACGAACGCUGGCGGCGUGCUUAACACAUGCAAGUCGAACGCUGAAGCUCAGCUUUUGUUGGGUGGAUGAGUGGCGAACGGGUGAGUAACACGUGAGUAACCUGCCCCCUUCUUUGGGAUAACGCCCGGAAACGGGUGCUAAUACUGGAUAUUAGCUGGUCUUCGAUUGGGGGUUUGUGGAAGGGGCUUUUCUGGUGGGUGGUGGGCUCGCGGCCUAUCAGGUUGUUGGUGGGGUGGUGGCCUACCAAGGCUUUGACGGGGCGCCGGACUGGGAGGGUGACCGGGCACGUUGGGAGUGAGAUACGGACCAGAAUACGACGGGGGGCAGCAGGGGAGAAAAUUGCACAAUGGGCGGAAGAAUGAUGCAGCGACGCCGCGUGAGGGAUGGAGGGCGGCGGGUUGGGAACCGGUUUCGCUCAUGGUCAAGCCGCAACAAUGGUUGUGGUGAGGGUAGUGGGUAAAGAAGCGCCGGCUAACUACGUG